GGCUGCCUGUGGACUGUCUUUGUCGGGGAUUAUUGGAUUCUGGUGACUCCAGGAGCGGGGUUAUUAGUUCCCCUGCCUACGCUGAGCGUUUUGAAUUUUCGUGUGUGAUAACACUUAUUAAUACUGCUCAGAUUAAGAAGACCCUAUGGCUUUCCAGCACUUUCAGCACCUUAUCUCACGCCAAGCAUCUGCCCAGCAGCAGAACCAUGCUCAGAUCAGUGUGCUGUGGCCAGCAGAGCAGGGCCUUGUGGGGCCAGCAGGAGCCUCAUGCCCAAAGUCCUGCAUUUGCUCACAGCAGCAGCUCCUCUUAAGCUGCCUUGUGCUUCAGGGGAUCUGCCUGCUGAGGAUUUGAGGGACGUGGGCCUAAAAUAUUUUAUUUCAGGAAGUCAAGCAGUGGUUCCUGUCACCGAAACAGUUAAUCAGAAAGCACCAACUCUCCACUGCAACGUGUGUGUGCGUGCACGUGUUUUUGUUUUUUAAAGCCAGCAAGAUUUGCUUUGGUUUUUUUUAAAGCAGAAAACACCAAAAAAGUUGGCUGUGGUUUCAGCUGCUAUCGCUCGAGAUUUGUACUGCUGUCUACCAAUCCUAAAAGAGUUAACCUGGUAAGUAUGACUCAGAAGCAGAGAAGGAGAUGCGAGGCUGAGAGCCGGGGAGGAAGCGCAGAAACAGAGGUGAGGAACAGAAUAAUUGCCAAAAAAAGGUGCAGAGUCCAAGAGCGACGUUCCCUCCGGUCUGCCUGGCCCUGGCACCGCUGGCACGGGCUCCCUGGAAAGCUGCAGUUCCGCUCUUAUAACACAAGGAGCAGGCUGGAGAAUUUAGAGCUGCGUCACAGAGCUCAGCGAGAGAGUGAGAGAGCAAGCUCCGUCGAUAGGUCUACCAGCAACAGCCCUGCUGCAGCAAGAGGGGAGAGAGGCAGCAAGAGAGGCACAGAGGGCUCCAGGGAGAGAAGUGGCACCAACACCACGGACUGGGCUCCUGCCACCAUCCGCUGCCAUUUGCACCCUGCAUUGGGGCUCGCUUGGCGUAGGAGGCUUCGCCCAUUGACGAUGCUGGAGACCCGGCGCGCUUAAUCCCGCGGGGAGGGAGAGUGGGCAGACACCGAAAGGGUUAACGGGAAGGAAAUUUCUGGAACCUUCUCUUCUGCGGCGCUCCAGAGCGAGCGGAGGGCUGCGCAGAUGGUGCACGGGCACGGCUCCUCGGUCCGGUUCGUCUCCCUCACCGACCAGCAAUGAAGAUGGCAGCUCUGCCUGGAAGUGCUGAGGACACAGCCAGCCUUGAGCUUGGUCCUUCUGGCCGAGGAAGUCUCCCGAUUAUGCAGUGGAGUGGUACGGUGGAGAUGAAGGAUUUUCUCCCUCAGCCUGCAGCCAUGCACAAGAUGUGUCUUCCUCUGGAAGCUGGUUUCACAUGGUGGCUUAGAUUUUCCCACUUUGUAUCUAGCACCAUUUGAAAUCAGUGUUCUAGGAGCAAGAAUUACAGCGUGGGAGGAGACCAAGCACCUGCUCACUUCAGCAACAUCCUCUGCUCCUCACAUCAGCCCCUUUUCCAAAGGCUCUUUUUUUUUUUUUUUUUUUUGCCAGCCAUCCACUUUGUAACAUCAUCUGAUUUCUAGACACUUCUCCAAGCACUGUAUCACCCUCCCAAGCCAGGGCCACACCAGCACAGCCUCCUGCUCGUGUACUUCUGCUUAAUAAACAAUGGAUAUGAG